AUUGAACGCUGGCGGCAUGCUUUACACAUGCAAGUCGAACGGUAACAGGGUGCUUGCACCGCUGACGAGUGGCGAACGGGUGAGUAAUGCGUCGGAACGCACCGAGUAAUGGGGGAUUACGCAGCGAAAGCUGUGCUAAUACCGCAUACGCUCUGAGGAGGAAAGCGGGGGGCCUUCGGGCCUCGCGUUAUUCGAGCGGCCGACGUCUGAUUAGCUAGUAGGUGAGGUAAGAGCUCACCUAGGCGACGAUCAGUAGCGGGUCUGAGAGGAUGAUCCGCCACACUGGGACUGAGACACGGCCCAGACUCCUACGGGAGGCAGCAGUGGGGAAUUUUGGACAAUGGGCGCAAGCCUGAUCCAGCCAUGCCGCGUGUCUGAAGAAGGCCUUCGGGUUGUAAAGGACUUUUGUCAGGGAGGAAAUCCUUAGCGCUAAUACCGUUGAGGGAUGACAGUACCUGAAGAAUAAGCACCGGCUAACUACGUGCCAGCAGCCGCAGUAAAAC
rnacentral:rRNA from 1 species